rnacentral:rRNA from 1 species
UACGUAGGGGGCAAGCGUUGUCCGGAUUUAUUGGGCGUAAAGCGCACGCGGGCGGUCUGUUCAGUUUGGAGUGACAGUUCCUGGCUCAACCGGGAAAGUGCUUCGAAUACUGGCGGACUUGAGGGCUUCAGAGGGACACGGAAUUCCGGGUGGAGUGGUGAAAUGCGUAGAGAUCCGGAGGAACACCAAAGGCGAAGGCAGUGUCCUGGGGAGUACCUGACGCUCAGGUGCGAAAGCCAGGGGAGCGAACGGG